AGUCGAGCGCACCUUCGGGUGAGCGGCGGACGGGUUAGUAACGCGUGGGAACAUACCCUUUGGUACGGAAUAGCCUCUGGAAACGGAGAGUAAUACCGUAUGAGCCCUUCGGGGGAAAGAUUUAUCGCCAAAGGAUUGGCCCGCGUUAGAUUAGGUAGUUGGUGGGGUAAUGGCCUACCAAGCCUACGAUCUAUAGCUGGUUUUAGAGGAUGAUCAGCAACACUGGGACUGAGACACGGCCCAGACUCCUACGGGAGGCAGCAGUGGGGAAUCUUGGACAAUGGGGGCAACCCUGAUCCAGCCAUGCCGCGUGAGUGAUGAAGGCCUUAGGGUCGUAAAGCUCUUUCGCCUGUGAAGAUAAUGACGGUAGCAGGUAAAGAAACCCCGGCUAACUCCGUGCCAGCAGCCGCGGUAAUACGGAGGGGGUUAGCGUUGUUCGGAAUUACUGGGCGUAAAGCGCACGUAGGCGGACUGGAAAGUUGGGGGUGAAAUCCCAGGGCUCAACCCUGGAACUGCCUCCAAAACUAUCAGUCUAGAGUUCGAGAGAGGUGAGUGGAAUUCCGAGUGUAGAGGUGAAAUUCGUAGAUAUUCGGAGGAACACCAGUGGCGAAGGCGGCUCACUGGCUCGAUACUGACGCUGAGGUGCGAAAGUGUGGGGAGCAAACAGGAUUAGAUACCCUGGUAGUCCACACCGUAAACGAUGAAUGCCAGUCGUCGGGUAGCAUGCUAUUCGGUGACACACCUAACGGAUUUAAGCAUUCCGCCUGGGGAGUA
rnacentral:rRNA from 1 species